GGAUGCCCUCCGUCGUCACCCCUUAGAACGCGUUACCCGCUUUCGGACUGCGUCGCUGCGGCGCACCCCCUACUUCCAGAAGCCUAACAUUUGGGGAAAGCCCUCCCUUCUACCCUGCCCGUUGGCAAGCCUGCCAUGGAGGUCUUCGUCGGUGCCGGUUGAAGCACGGUCGUCGGCGCCAUUA
rnacentral:rRNA from 1 species